UAUACAUUUCAGGUAUAAACUUCAAAAUGAUAACGGUUCUCAAGAUAUAGAGCGAACACAAUCUUUACCAUAGGACAUGGGGUUGUCAACUGAAACCAAAGUUUUUGACCUUGAACUUUACCCUAGGCAGUCGUUCAUAAAUUAUGACACACCCUUUGGUGUUGGUUCAUAUACAUGUCAAGUAUAAACUUUGAAAUCAUAACGGUUCUCAAGAUAUAGAGCGGACACGAUCUUCACCACAGGACACAGGGUUGUCAACUGAAACCAAAGUUUUUUUACCUUGACUUUUGACCUAGGAAGUUGCACAUACAUCAUGACACGCCCUCUGGUGGUGGUUAAUAAACAUGUAAAGUAUAAAGUAUGAAAUCAUAAUGGUUCUCUAGAUAUGGAGCGGACACAAGUGUUACGGACGGAUGGACGGACGGACGGACGGACGGACAGACUGAUCACUAUAGGGUACCCGCCUAAAGGCG
rnacentral:lncRNA from 1 species